GUGAAGUGUCUGCACCCUUCUGCCAGAGGAAAAGUUCCCUGAGGCCUUCCCGGAAGCAGAUGCUGAUGUACAGCCUGCAGAACUCCACUGAAAAACUUCCACAAGCAUCAAGACAAUCCAGGAAAACACGGCCUCACCAAAUGAACUACAUAAGUACAAGGAUCAAGAUUUCAUAUUCGCUUACCAGAGGCUUGGAUCUUUACUUUCUUACCUAACCCAGACUCUUCAGAGAUGAACAGCAUGUUACUUCCUUACAAUAAAUGAAUAAACAGAUAUAUAAUUGGUUCCUU
rnacentral:lncRNA from 10 species